rnacentral:rRNA from 1 species
AUUGAACGCUGGCGGCAUGCCUUACACAUGCAAGUCGAACGGUAACAGGUCUUCGGAUGCUGACGAGUGGCGAACGGGUGAGUAAUGUAUCGGAACGUGCCCAGUUGUGGGGGAUAACUACUCGAAAGAGUGGCUAAUACCGCAUACGACCUGAGGGUGAAAGCGGGGGAUCGCAAGACCUCGCGCAAUUGGAGCGGCCGAUAUCAGAUUAGGUAGUUGGUGGGGUAAAGGCUCACCAAGCCGACGAUCUGUAGCUGGUCUGAGAGGACGACCAGCCACACUGGGACUGAGACACGGCCCAGACUCCUACGGGAGGCAGCAGUGGGGAAUUUUGGACAAUGGGCGCAAGCCUGAUCCAGCCAUUCCGCGUGCAGGAUGAAGGCCCUCGGGUUGUAAACUGCUUUUGUACGGAACGAAACGCGCCGGGUUAAUACCUCGGCGUAAUGACGGUACCGUAAGAAUAGGCACCGGCUAACUACGUGCCAGCCGCCGCCGUAAAAC